ACGAACGCUGGCGGCAUGCCUAACACAUGCAAGUCGAACGAGACCUUCGGGUCUAGUGGCGCACGGGUGCGUAACGCGUGGGAACCUGCCCUUAGGUUCGGAAUAACUCCCCGAAAGGGGUGCUAAUACCGGAUAAUGUCAUCGGACCAAAGAUUUAUCGCCUUUGGAUGGGCCCGCGUUGGAUUAGCUAGUUGGUAGGGUAAAAGCCUACCAAGGCGACGAUCCAUAGCUGGUCUGGGAGGAUGAUCAGUCACACUGGGACUGAGACACAGCCCAGACUCCUACGGGAGGCAGCAGUGGGGAAUAUUGGACGAUGGGCGAAAGCCUGAUCCAGCAAUGCCGGGUGAGUGAUGAAGGCCUUAGGGUUGUAAAGCUCUUUUACCCGGGAUGAUAAUGACAGUACCGGGAGAAUAAGCUCCGGCUAACUCCGUG
rnacentral:rRNA from 1 species